rnacentral:lncRNA from 1 species
CAGUUUGUGGGGAGUAUGGCAAUUAUGAUGGUUAUAUCAUGAUGUACGUGAUAUGAAAUGCAUGAUAUACUUCAAAGAGCUUUUCCAGUCUUGGUAAUCGAGACAUUCCCGCAGGAUUCCGGAGAUUUAUUUCAUUUGAAAACCACAAGGAUACAGUUGUAACUUGAAUUCUUCUGCAAAAGGAAAGCCUGGCUUGGCUAGGGAGCAAGAUCCUUC